rnacentral:misc_RNA from 1 species
AUUCUGGUCAGAAUUUUGAUUCAUCUGAGGGACUCGAUCAAUCUGAGGUGGUAAGCACUUCUAAUUCUAUGAGAAGGCCUGCUUCUGUAGAGCCAUUGGAGCACAAAUCUGACAUUCUUAACAGUGAUUUUGCCAGCCACUGGCAAAACUUGCAAUAUGGACGGUUUUGCCAAAACUCACGGGAUCCCACACCUUUGGUUUAUCCUUCACCUCUGAUGAUGCCACCUGUAUAUUUACAAGGUCGUAUUCCAUGGGAUGUGCCCGGGAGACCUCUUUCAACCAACAUGAAUCUUUUCACGCAGCUUAUGAGUUAUGGGCCACGUCUUGUUCCUGUUGCUGCUCUUCAGUCUGUUUCUAAUAGACCUGCUGGUGUUUACCAGCAUUAUGUUGAUGAAAUGCCAAGAUUUCGUAGUGGGACUGGGACCUACCUGCCAAAUCCUAAGGUAUCCGGUCGGGACCGUCAUUCUACAAAUAAUAGAAAGGGAAAUUACAGUUAUGAUAGAAGUGACCACCAUGGUGAGAGGGAAGGGAACUGGAAUGUUAAUUCAAAGCCUCGAGCUUCUGGACGUAGCCACACG